rnacentral:snoRNA from 1 species
GAGCACUGUUUGUAACCUGUUAACCUGGCUGUGGCUGACAGGUUCCAUUCCAGUGCAACAGUUAUAAAAUAAAAGAAAAUA